CCAUGAUCAAAUGAGCAGCCACUUGUCAUUAACCCGUAGAUCCGAUCUUGUGAUAAGUUUGAUGGCACAAGCUCGAUUCUAUGGGUCUCUGUCUCUGUGGUAGAUAAUCGACCAACAUGU
rnacentral:precursor_RNA from 8 species